UUGUGGCAGAGAAUGUGAGUACAGCUGGGAGCUUGACAGUUCUGGCUGUGGUUGCUGAGAUCAGAUUUGGAAAAACAAAUCACUAUAUGUUUCAACAUUAGGUGAUGAAUGAAUCAAUAAGCUAUAUAUUUCCUUCCUUAUUCUGCUAAUUGAGACUGGAGAAGAUUAUAAACAGGUCCACAUGACAAACCAGAGGUCGUCAUUUAAUUUGGAUACCGGCAUCACCUUUCCAAGAUAUAUGGGCCUGGGCCUUUUGAAACCCUCAUAAGAACUGUCUUGGGAUGCUGGUUGCCCUGGAAAGAGCAUGUCACUGUGGAAGAGGCAGCCUCCUUUGGCUGCAGGAAAUUCCUGAAGACGGACUGGGCUGUGAGUUGUCAGAUGAUUCCUCUCAAAAAACAAGGCUUGUCUCUAUACAAAUGGAAAUCUCAGGAAAACACUUUACACAGCUCUUCACAUUCUACAAGCUGUGAGAACUGAAAGCAGAGCCCUCAUCUGAAAACUGGGGAUUAAGAAGAAUAUUUAGAAGACAGCCAACAACUUUUCACUUCAUUUUCAACGGACAGAUAAUGGACUUAAUGGCCCACAGUGUUACAGGUCAGUCAUAUUGCCUUCUUUCACUUUUCAUUCAUUAUUUAUCAACUCAACAAACAUUUUCUAAGUGCCUACCAUAGGAAGACACUGUCCUAGGAGCUGGAAACAUAUUAUUAAGCAAAAAUAGUCUUUCCUUGCUCUCUUGGCAUUUAAAGCCUUGGAGACACUGGUGAAUAUCACAGACUUAGUUUUCAUAUUCAAGGAUCCUACAGUCUUGUGGUUGAUAGAGAUGCAGACAAGUCAUUAAAAACUGUGUGAUUAGCAGUUGUGAAAAAGCAUUGAAGAAGUAUAGAGACACGCAAACACAUUACAGUGAUGUCUCUUCUAGAAUGGGCUUCUUUGAGAAGGUAACAUGUGAAUUGAGAUCUGAAGAAUGACUAGCAAUUGUUAAUUGGAAUUGGGAGGUAGUCAGCCUUGAAGAAGAAAAAAAACCCAGCUUAUAUAAACGCACAUUGCAGAAAGAAAACACGAUGUUUGCUUGAAAUUGUAAUCAGAAGGUGUUGAGAACAUAAGAGUUCGAUAUUGCAGCUUCUUACAAAAGUUAACUUCAUUAAGAACGCAUUAAAGAGUUUUAAGGCGAGGAGUUAUAUGAUGUAUUUUUUUAAAUAAAAGAUCACUCCGUCCAAACUGUUGAAAAUAAAUUGGGCUGUCAGAAGUAGAGUAGGAGUAAUGGAGGGUAACUGAGUAAGGGACCUAUGUAACAGACGGGUGAGAAAUGAUGACAUCUUAGAAUCAGUGGUGGUAAUGGAGAAAAAUAUCAUGAUUCAAGAUAUUUAGGAAAAAAGACUAGCUAGAAGUUGCUGAUUGAUAUAGCAUGGCAAGUCCUAAAGUCUGAAAUCAUUUGUACAUUUUCCACAUUCUGAACCAAGAAUGGACCAAUGUUCAACUUUCUCUAACAUUUCAACUCUCACCUGCUGAAUAAUUUUUGCAUUGACUGGAGAACUAGCUGAAACAGUUUCAUAAAAUAUGGAUUAUGUUAGACUUGUACAAGUCAUAAAUUUGGGUCACUACCGAAUUCAGUCUUCUGAACAUUAAUUUAACUAAAAUUUCUGUUUUCUGGCUAAGAACUAUGUUACCUAAUUAGUCUUUCUCCAUUUCUGUCUACGUAAAUAGACAAUGUCUAACCUAACAAAACAAUAGGAUUUAUCACUUCAGGGAAGACUUUUCCUACACACAGAUAGAGAACGAUACCCUUCUGGGUUGUUAGUUAAUCUCUCUUACAAGCUCAGUGACUCAGUCCUGCAGAUAAACCUCAUAGCAAUAAACAGUGUUCAGAACUGCACCACAGCAGAAUGAUAGAUUGCCACAUGUCAUGGAUACAGAGAGUUACUCCUGAAUAAUUGUCCUAACCUUGGCCUACAAAGCUCUACUUUUUCUGAUUCCUACCUACUUCACUGAGCUCUGUCUUUGCUUAGUUUGCUCUUUGUGCUGUUUCUUGUACAUGUCAAGUUUCUGCCUGACUUAGGAUCCCCGUACAGGCUAUUCUCUCUGCUGAAAAUUCUUCUGCCAGAUUCUCUAUUGCCUCUCUCCCUGCUUUAUUAGAGUUUCUGCUCAAUAUCUCUCCUUCCUGUCUCUGAUCAUACUAUCUUUACUGGUUUCUAUUACUCAGUAUCCUCUUACCUUGCUUAUUUUUCCUUCAUAGCCUUAAUUAAUAGCUGAUAUUACUUUGUAUUUCACAACUUGUGCUUGCUUACUGUGGCAGACUGAAUAAUGGCAACCUCCCACUUCCUGAAGAUGUUUAUGUUCCAAUCUCCAGAACCUAUUACCUUACAGCAGAAAAGGGGCUUUGCAAAGGAGAUGAAAACAUUAUCCUGGAUUAUCCAGGUGGGCCUAAAGUAAUCACAAGGGUGCUUUUUAACUGGAGGCAGGAGGCUCAGAGGAGUAGAAGAGAUGGUAAUGGAAGCAAGAAACUGGAGUCAUGUGAGGAAGAGGUCAUGCACUAAGGAAUGUAAGCAGGCUCUGGAAGUUGAAAAAGGAAAAGAAACAUUCUCUUCUCGAGCCUCCAGAAGGAACACAAUUCAACUUGAUUUUAGACUUCUGACCUCUAAAACUAUAUGAGAGUAAAUUUUUGCUGUUUUAAGCCAUUAAAUUUGUUGUAACUUGUUAUAGAAGCCAUGAGAAACUAAUACAGUUACCUUCUACCUUCUUCUCCUGAAUGUAACCUUGAAGAAAUUAGGGACUUAAUCAUUUUACCAUUAUAUAAUUAUGUAUGGAACACUGUGUGCUCAAGGUAGGUAAUUAAUAACCACUUCUAAAAUAAUCAAAUUAUAUUAGGAAAUAAAAUUUAUAAACACACAGAGUCUAAUAUACACACAAAAAUGCAUACAUAUACCACAAAAACCACAAGCAUAUACACUCACAUAUCUGAAAAAUACUAUAACACUCUUGGUUAAUUAAAUAUAUGCUUAUGUGUAUAUUUCAAAUCGUUGAUUAACCAUCUUUUAGUUCUCACAAGUGUACAAAGAAUGCAGGCAAGGUAAGAAAUGUUAAUUUAAGUAUAAUAACUAUACCCUAGUGCAUUGGAUGAACCAUUUUAAUCAAGGAGAUGAACUUCUAUAUCAAUGUCUGGUGCCUUCUGUUGCAAGGCAGUUGGGAUGAAGGUAACAUGGCUGUUACAGUUUAAAGUGUAUAUUCUUUUCUUAAGUUUUUAAAUUUAAAAUUAUUUUUAUUGGGGUAUAGUUGCUUUACAAUGUUGUGUUAGUUUCUGUUGUACAACAAAGUGAAUCAGCUAUAUGUAUACAUAUAUCUCCUCCCUCUUGGACCUCCCUCCCACCCCCCAUCCCAUCCA